UACAGAGGUCUCAAGCGUUGUUCGGAUUCAUUGGGCGUAAAGCGCGUGUAGGCGGCCCUGCAAGUCGGAUGUGAAAUCCCACGGCUCAACCGUGGAAGUGCAUUCGAAACUGCAGGGCUAGAGUCCUGGAGAGGAAGGUGGAAUGCUUGGUGUAGAGGUGAAAUUCGUAGAUAUCAAGCGGAACACCGGUGGCGAAGGCGGCCUUCUGGACAGUGACUGACGCUGAGACGCGAAAGCGUGGGGAGCAAACAGG
rnacentral:rRNA from 1 species